ensembl:lncRNA CENPN-AS1 CENPN antisense RNA 1
GGGCGCGCCUUGGAGGGAGAGGACUUUAGGUGACGCCGCCAGGAGGCGAAAUUUCACCUGCCAGCAGCUCUGGAGGUCAAAAGAAAUGAGACUGCUGGGCUAAGAUCAAGGUGUCAGCAGGGCUGUAUUCCUUCCCAAGGCUCCAGGGGAGAAUCUGUUCACUUGCCUUUCCCAGCUUCUAGAGGUUGCCUACAUUCCUUGGCUUGCGGACCCUUCCUCCAUCUCCAGAAUCAGUAACGAAAGAUCCAAAGCCAUAUCCUGGCUGAGUUGGCUGAGUUGAGCAGGACACUGACAAGGAGGCUGCUGAGCCUGCAACUCGACUGUUCUGUUUGAGGAGCUCUGUGCUUUAUCAUAGAAAUGGAUCUGAGGUGGGGUGUUGCUUUGUCUUGUGAUCGCAGCUCACGGCAGCCUUGGACUCGUGGGCACGAGCAAUCCUCCCACUUCAGCCUCCCAAGUAGCUGGGACCACAGAAGCGGUGUAUUGCGCCUCAGCAUGGAGGAGGACGUGAAGGCGUACGGAGUCUGGGAGUAGUACACCACGUAGGUAGGUUUGUACUGGUUUGGCUUUGUGUACUGUGUUCCCCAGGCAAUUCGAAUCCAGACUGCAUUCUCCUCAGUUUCUCUGAAGCUGACUGUCACCUUAUUAAAGAAAAAAAAAAAAGGCUUAAUUUCCUAAUUAAAAUUUCACUGUGGCACCAACUCCAGGUGCUUAUUAGGGGUGAACAAUGAUGUCCCUAUACUCUUGUAUGCAGGUUGAGACCUGGCAGUCUUUUCUGCUUUUCAUGAGUAUUUUGAGAAUCUUUGGGAAAACAUUUUGUGAUUUUAAAAAAAAAAAAUCCUUUUCAGUUCUUUUUUUUUUUUUGAGACUAGGUCUUGCUCAGUUGCUCAGGCUGGAGUGCUGUGGCAUGAUCAUAGCCUGCUCACGGCAGCCUCAACUUCCUGGGCUCAAGCAAUCCCAUCUCAGCCUCCCUAGUAGCUGAGACCACAGGCACGUGCCAUCAUGCCUGGCUAAUUUUUUUAAAAAAGUUUUUUUUUGUAGAGGUGAUUGUUUUUUCAAUAAUUUCUUGGGCUUGUCCUGAAAACUGUUCCUCCUUACGUAAGAAUUUAUGAGGUAAGGCAGCCUUACAAAUGAGAUACUUGUUUUAUAAUGAAGCCUUCUUAGCAUCUAACCCAGACCUAGCACACGCUAUAAACUUUAACAGUAAGAUUUCUAUGUAAUUAGGCUGGGUGUUGUGGCUUAUGCCUGUAAUCCUAGCACUUUGGGAGGCUGAGGUAGGAGGAUCGCUUGAGCCCAGGAGUUUUGAGACCAACCUGGACAACAUAGUGAAACUCAGUAUCUACCGGAAAAAAAAAAAAAAGCCAGGCACGGUGACAUGUGCCUAUAGUCCCAGCUACUCAAGAGGCUGAGGUGGGAGGAUGGCUUGAGCCUGGGAGGUCUAGACUAUAGUGAGCCGAGAUCAUGUCAGUGCAUUCCAGCCUGGGCAACAGAGUGAGACCACGUUUCCAAAAAAAAACAAAAACAAAACAAAAAGAAGAAGAAAAAGAAGAUUUCUAUGUCAUAAUGGGCUUAAAGAAGAUUUCUAUGUAAUAAUGGGCUUGAAAAUAUACUAUUCCUAAUGCUCUUAUGCAUUUAGCUCAGAAGCUAAAAACUCCUCUAAAAGAAUGUUACAUGGCAAGACCAGAGGUACUACCUUGAAUCCACUUCAUGGAUAAAAUACAGGCCUUUCCAAACUUUUAAAUAUGGUUGCCAAUUGGUCUGGAAUUUAAUAGGCUGCUCCUGGAUUAUCAGCUCCCCUCUGAUUCAGCUUCCCUUUAAAGCUCUGAGCCUAGAAAGGAGGGACUUGAGUGAGAUGCACUCAGCUUGCCCACGUCUCUGUUUCCUCCCUCUGAGAUCUUGUUCUAGGAAAAGUGGGUUGUUACAGUGGCACUAGCAAAUUCUGCUCAUUCUUUAGCAGCUUUUCCAAAUUCCCUCAGUGCAGGAGACAAGAAAGUCUCCCCAGUCCAGGGUAUGGCGGCACACAGCUGUCUGACUUUCCUGAGUGAGCAUCAUAGAGCUUGGACCCAGUCACAUGCUCAGUGGGCCUCUACUGCCUUGAAUGGAAGAUUGUCUUAUUCUGAAUAGCUUCUUUGUUUUACAUUAAAAAAGCAAAAACAUCUGUAAAAUCAAGGGUGCUUCAGGUUUGCACUGACUAUUACUGGAACUACUAGCUACAUGUGGCUAUUUAAUGUAAAAAAUCAUUGAAGUUUAAAAAGAUUAAAAAUUCAGGCUGGGUGCGGUGGCUCACACCUGUAAUCCCAGCACUUUGGGAGGCCGAGGCAGGCAGAUCAUCUGAGGUUAGGAGUUCGAGACCAGCCUGGUCAACAUGGAGAAACCCCAUCACUACUAAAAAUACAAAAAUUAGCUGGGCAUGGUGGUGCGUGCUUGUAGUCCCAGCUACUCGGGAGGCAGAGGCAGAAGAAUUGCUUGAACCCAGGAGGCAGUUGCAGUGAGCCGAGAUCUCGCCACUGCACUCCAGCCUGGGCAACAGAGUAAGAC